AUGGCUUGGCAGAGCUUGCUGAUGCCGCUGGAGUUUCUGGGUGGUUGGGCUACAGUGCUGGCUCUGGUGGCACAGGGAGGGGUGGCAGAGGUGUGGACGAGCUUUCAUGUGAAACCAGUUACUCAGCUGGGAGAGCACCCCGGCUGGGGACGUGGGGAGGGCACGGGGGGAGGCUCCUCACCAUCCCCACCUCCCCUCCUUCUCCAGCUCCCCCCUGGUGUGCUGGGGAGCACACAGCAGAGCACACCUGCCCUGCCUGCUCUUUCCACACCGGGUGACAGCUGGGAAGCCCAAUGGAACACACCCGGAGGAGGGAAAUCUUUGACUGUUCCUUGGGGUCAAACCUUUCACGAAGAGAAACGUGACAGAGCUGGUGUCAGGUCAGGUCCCGUCCUGGAGCUUUUUCCGUCACCCCACUCUUCUCCAAAAAGCCGAGGCGUUUCCCGGAGAUGCGACACCCGGUCCUUCAGCUGCUUUUUUGGAAAUCCAGCGCUUCCUGUGGGGGUGCAGCCCGAGUCCCCGGAGCCAUCUGGAGCCCUCCCAGCCUCGGGCAGGCUGAGCUGGCACCGCAGACCCCUCCCCGCCUGGCUGCGAGCCCUCCCUGCGCUCCCGCAGCCCCGGCGGGUCGCGGUGCCGGUGGCUCUGGGAGCCCCCGAACAGCCAAACCCUCCUCUGGUUCGGUAUCCCGGUGGGUUUCCCUCCGUGGUUUACUCCUAAUGGUUUUCCCCUCAUGGAUUUGCUCCUAGUGGGUUU
rnacentral:lncRNA from 1 species